rnacentral:tRNA from 1 species
AGCCCACCUCAGUAGCUCAGUGGUAGAGCGGUCGGUGACUAACACUGACUGGUCGUUGGUUCGAAACCAACCCG